AGGACUGUAGUUAAUAAUAAUAUUUGGUUUGCAUCCAAAAGGUGUUGGUACUCAACCUGUCUUA
rnacentral:tRNA from 1 species